rnacentral:rRNA from 1 species
UACGUAGGGGGCAAGCGUUGUCCGGAAUUAUUGGGCGUAAAGAGCGCGUAGGCGGUCCGGUAAGUCGGCUGUGAAAGUCAAGGGCUCAACCCUUGAAAGCCGGCCGAUACUGUCGGACUAGAGUCCGGAAGAGGCGAGUGGAAUUCCCGGUGUAGCGGUGAAAUGCGCAGAUAUCGGGAGGAACACCAAUGGCGAAGGCAGC